rnacentral:rRNA from 1 species
GUAGGUGGCAAGCGUUGUCCGGAAUUAUUGGGCGUAAAGCGCGCGCAGGCGGUUCUUUAAGUCUGAUGUGAAAGCCCACGGCUCAACCGUGGAGGGUCAUUGGAAACUGGAGAACUUGAGUACAGAAGAGGAAAGCGGAAUUCCACGUGUAGCGGUGAAAUGCGUAGAGAUGUGGAGGAACACCAGUGGCGAAGGCGGCUUUCUGGUCUGUAACUGACGCUGAGGCGCGAAAGCGUGGGGAGCAAACAGGAUUAGAUACCCUGGUAGUCCACGCCGUAAACGAUGAGUGCUAAGUGUUAGGGGGUUUCCGCCCCCCUAGUGCUGCAGCUAACGCAUUAAGCACUCCGCCUGGGAGUACGGCCGCAAGGCUG